GAUGAACGCUGGCGGCGUGCUUAACACAUGCAAGUCGAACGAAGAUGCCGGAGUGCUUGCACUUUGGCAGACUGAGUGGCGGACGGGUGAGUAACGCGUGGGUAACCUGCCUUAUACAGGGGGAUAACAGUUGGAAACGACUGCUAAUACCGCAUAAGCGCACGGUAUCGCAUGAUACAGUGUGAAAAACUCCGGUGGUAUAAGAUGGACCCGCGUCUGAUUAGCUUGUUGGUGAGGUAACGGCCCACCAAGGCGACGAUCAGUAGCCGGCCUGAGAGGGUGAACGGCCACAUUGGGACUGAGACACGGCCCAAAAUCCUAGGGAGGCAGCAGUGGGGAAUAUUGCACAAUGGGGGAAACCCUGAUGCAGCGACGCCGCGUGAGUGAUGAAGUAUUUCGGUAUGGU
rnacentral:rRNA from 1 species